rnacentral:rRNA from 1 species
AUUGAACGCUGGCGGCAGGCCUAACACAUGCAAGUCGAACGGAGCGGCGGACGGGUGAGUAAUACCUAGGAAUCUGCCUGGUAGUGGGGGAUAACGUUCGGAAACGGACGCUAAUACCGCAUACUAGCAGAUGAGGCUAGGGCGGAUUAGCUAGUGGGUGGGGUAAUGGCACACCAAGGCGACGACCCGUAACUGGUCUGAGAGGAUGAUCAGUCACACUGGAACUGAGACACGGUCCAGACUCCUACGGGAGGCAGCAGUGGGGAAUAUUGGACAAUGGGCGAAAGCCUGAUCCAGCCAUGCCGCGUGUGUGAAGAAGGCCUUCGGAUUGUAAAGUACUUUAAGUGGGGAGGCGUUACCCACAGAAUAAGCACCGGCUAACUCCGUGCCAGCAGCCGCGGUAAUUC